UACGUAGGGGGCGAGCGUUGUCCGGAGUUACUGGGCGUAAAGGGCAUGCAGGCGGUCGGACGCGUUUCGGGUGACAGCGGGUGGCUUAACUACCCGAGUGGUCGAAAGGCGGUUUGACUUGAGGACGCGAGAGGGACACGGAAUUCCGGGUGGAGUGGUGAAAUGCGUAGAGAUCCGGAGGAACACCGAAGGCGAAGGCAGUGUCCUGGCGCGUAACUGACGCUGAGGUGCGAAAGCCAGGGGAGCGAACGGG
rnacentral:rRNA from 1 species